AAAAUUAGAGUGUUCAAAGCAGGCAGAUUCAAUUUUCUGCCACCGAAUACAUUAGCAUGGGAUAAUGGAAUAGGACCCUGUCCUCCUAUUUUCAGUUGGUUUUGGCAGCGCGAGGACUAGGGUAAUGAUUAAUAGGGAUAGUUGGGGGCAUUAAUAUUUAAUUGUCAGAGGUGAAAUUCUUGGAUUUAUGAAAGAUUAACUUCUGCGAAAGCAUCUGCCAAGGAUGUUUUCAUUAAUCAAGAACGAAAGUUAGGGGAUCGAAGACGAUCAGAUACCGUCGUAGUCUUAACCAUAAACGAUGCCGACCAGCGAUUAGGAGACGUUGAAUACAAAACACCACCAUCGGCGCGGUCGCCCUUGGCGUUCGUGUUCACGCACGGGCGCGAGGGCGGCUUAGCCCGAUGGCACCGGUGAA
rnacentral:rRNA from 1 species